rnacentral:rRNA from 1 species
UACGGAGGGUGCAAGCGUUAUCCGGAUUCACUGGGUUUAAAGGGUGCGUAGGAGGGCAGGUAAGUCAGUGGUGAAAUCUCCAAGCUUAACUUGGAAACUGCCGUUGAUACUAUCUGUCUUGAAUACCGUGGAGGUGAGCGGAAUAUGUCAUGUAGCGGUGAAAUGCUUAGAUAUGACAUAGAACACCAAUUGCGAAGGCAGCUCGCUACACGAAUAUUGACACUGAGGCACGAAAGCGUGGGGAUCAAACAGG